ensembl:lncRNA PRKAR2A-AS1 PRKAR2A antisense RNA 1
GGGCGGGGCAGGCGUCCUGGUUGUGACGCACGCCACCGCGGGCGUGCGCGUCCCCGCUUAGCACCGGCCCUCAGUGCGCUUGCGCCACUAGAUGACCCGCCCCCUCGGGCUGUCGGGGGGUCGAGACAGUGGAGUGUUCCUGAUGCCAGCUCACGGAGGGAAUCCAGGGAAUUAGCUGAUGCCAAGAGCCUCUUUUUGGCCAGCACUUACUAAGCACCAGAGACACAGCGAGAAGCAGAAGCAUACGAGCACAUCAGUGUGAUUCUGCUGUGAUGAAGGGCAAGAGAGGGCUCACUUUCCGGCGUGACAUUCAAGCUAGCCCCGAGGCCUGAGCAGGACCCGCCCAGGGGAAGAUCUGGAGGAAAGCCAUCUGAACAUACAACAAGAGCAAAGGCCUGGUGGAGUCAAGACCACCUUGGCUGCCAGGUGGAAUGGUGGAAUAACUCAGGAGUCUGUCAGGUCUCUGAGAUGUCAAACGGGCUUGGCACACACCCAGGAGCUCAAUGCUGCUGGGAGCUGAGCAGCUGGGAGCAAGGAGCCCUCAUCCCCACUGAUGAAGAGGCCAGCCCAGGUUCUAGGCUAAGCAGGCCUGUGAUUAUAAACAGCAGUGUCUCCCUGGACAAGUUUCUUGACCCUGAGAAGAAUGUUAGACCAUCAACUUUGUGAGGGGACAGGCAGUCUCCAACUUUUUUCCUGCUCAGUCCUUAUUGCAUACUCUUGGAGAAGGUCUACUGACUUGUUCUCAGAUGCCCCACGGCUCAGCCAACCACCCAUCCAGCAGAGCAUUCAAAAGGCAUCUGGAAGGAAUGAGGGCGACCGUUCUGCCAGGCCCCUAUUUUUUUUUGAGAGGAGUCUCACUCUGUCGCCCAGGCUGGAGUGCAAUGGCAUGACCUCUGCUCACUGCAAGCUCUGCCUCCCAGGUUCAAGCGAUUCUCCUGUCUCAGCCUCCCAAGUAGCUGGUACUACAGGCGUGCACCACCACACCCAGCAAAUUUUUUCUAUUUUUAGUAGAGAUGGGGUUUCUCCAUGUUGGCCAGGAUGGUCUCAAUCUCUUGACCUCGUGAUCCACCCGCCUCAGCCUCCCAAAGUGCUGGGAUUACAGGCGUGAGCCACCGCACCUGGCUUUUUUUUUUUCUUUUAGAUGGAGUCUUCCUUUUGUCGCCCAAGGUGGAGUGCAAUGGCACGAUCUCAGCUCACUGCAACCUCCACCUCCCAGGUUCAAGCAAUUCUCCUGCAUCAGCCUCCUGUGUAGCUGGGAUUAUAGGCACCUGCCACCAUGCCCAGUUAAUUUUUGUAUUUUCAGUAGAGACGGGGUUUUGCCAUGUUGGCCAGGAUGGUCUCGAACUCCUGACCUAGGGAUCUGCCCGCCUUAGCCUCCCAAAGUUCUGGGAUUACAGGCGUGAGGCACUGCACCUGGCCAUUUUGUUUGUUUGGGUUUGUUUUUGAGAUGGAGUCUUGCUCUGUUGCCCAGGCUGGAGUGCAGUGGCAUGAUCUCGGCCCAUUGCAAGCUCCACCUCCCGGGUUCAUGCCAUUCUCCUGCCUCAGCCUCCAGAGUAGCUGGGACUACAGGCGUGCGCCACCAUGCCCAGCUAAUUUUUUGUAUUUUUUAGUAGAGACGGGGUUUCACCAUGUUAGCCAGGAUGGUCUGGAUUUCCUGACCUCAUGAUCCGCCUGCCUUGGCCUCCCAAAGUGCUGGGAUUACAGGCGUGAGCCACCACGCCUGGCCUGUUUGUUUUUUUGAGACACAGUCUUACUCUGUUGCCCAGGCUGGAGUGCAGUGACGCGAUCUCGGCUCACUGCAACCUCCACCUCCCAGGUUCAAGCGAUUCUCGUGUCUCAGCCUCCCAAGUAGCUGGGAUUAUAGGUGCGCACCACCACGCCCGGCUUAUUUUUUGUAUUUUUAGUGCAGAUGGGGUUUCACCAUAUUGGCCAGGCUGGUCUUGAACUCCUGACCUCAGGUGAUCCGCCUGCCUCAGCUUCCCAAAAUGCUGGGAUUACCAGCAUGAGUCACCACGCCCGGCCAAGAAAGACCCAUAUUUUGUUUUGUUUUCUUUUUUGAGAUGGAGUCUUGCUCUGUCGCUCAGGCUGGAGUGCAGUGGCGCAAUCUCUGCUCACUGCAACCUCCACCUCCUGGGUUCAAGCCAUUCUCCUGCCUCAGCCUCCCGAGUAGCUGGGACUACAGGCGCACACCACCACGCCUGGCUAAUUUUUGUAUUUUUAGUACAGACAGGGCCAGACUGGUCACGAACUCCUGACCUCAGGCGAUCCACCCGCCUCAGCCUUCCAAAGUGCUGGAAUUAUAGGUGUGAGCCAUCGCACCUGGCCACCAGACCCCCAUUAACUUCAGUAGGGAUGGCACCAGGUUUGAGAGGCCAAAAGAGAUCCAGAGCCAGCAAACAAGACUUAGGUUUGAUUGAGGGGAAUUUGCAUACAGAGCAGUCCAGUGGAGGUGGGCUAGAUAGGAGAACUGCCCCACCUGCAGAAAGUAUGCAGUAUAUAUAGCAUUUUCACUUAACACCCUCCCCCUAACAACUUUGAUUUAACCCAAAACAAAGGGGCUAAAUCCCCUGUACAUCCACAGGACAGAAUGGGGGCUCAGAUAUUCCUCAUGGGUAAGUAAUGAAUCUCUGGCUUGUCCUCACUUGGAACUCCUAACACAUUCAGGUGCAUCUGCCAUACAGGGUCAUUCUCAGAGUAUGCUUAAGUUAUUGCUGUCAGGUGCAGCUACCAUACACAGGUGUGUCUGCCAUAUAGCCACAGAAAGCAGGAGUCCUACAGCUGCUCCUCAUGGGUCUCCAUAGACUAGUCUUAGAGCAAGGAUGGGCAGCCAGCCUCCAGGUUUAACCUGGCACUCUCCCCCAGCACUUGGUCCCCAGAGCAGGGGUGCAUCUCUCCCACUUCUGGUCAACCCUUCAGUAACAAGUAGAGCCCCCAGGGUCUUCAUGAAUAUCUAGUUGAACUGGCUAAAGAAGAGGGCCCUGUAACAGGACAGAACACCAGGAGCCUGAACCCCGCAUCUUCUACCCUUAUCCUGCAUUUAUCCUGCCUGCAUUCAAGCCUGUCCAGCUGCACCACUGGAGGUUACCAUGGCAACUAAACCCAGAGGCAGCCGGUAACUGAGAUACAGCUGCCAAGAGCAACUGAUGGUGGAAAAGGCCAACAGCAGAGACUCUUAGAAGGAAGAGAAGUACACAGGAGGAGGCCCCAGAACCCUGAGGGUGCUACACUCAAAUCUAAUCCUACUCACAACUCAGCAGGCAGUCAACGUCUUGCACAAACUGCCAUAUCACCAACCAGAGGCACAGAUAUGGACACAAUGGGGCCAAUUUGCAGAGAUGUUUGCAACUAUGGAUGCAGAGUAGCACAGGUGGGACACAUGUUGUUUAGCCCAAAAGCAACGGGUCUUGGUGAAAACGAAAAUGGGUAGGGUACCAUUGCUGUUUCCAAUGAAACAAUGAAUUUUGUGUGC